GUAACAAACCACUUACCAUUCGUUUGGGUACUCAUCAAGUUAUUGAAGGGUUGGAAGUAGGUGUGGCUAGCAUGAGAAAGGAGGAGGUGUCUCAGUUUCUUGUGAAGUCUCCCUACGCCUUUGGGGACAUGGGUUGUCCCCCACGAAUACCGCCUGCAGCUUCAAUUCUUUUUGAAGUCGAAGUCCUCUCCUUUGUUGAUCACAGUGCUGCUGACAGUUAUGACGAAUUACCUGAUGAGGAUAAAGCCAAAGUUAGCCUUAAGGAAAUUGUAAAUGUCGCCAAUGCAGAGA